rnacentral:rRNA from 1 species
AUUGAACGCUGGCGGCAUGCCUUACACAUGCAAGUCGAACGGCAGCACGGGGCAACCUGGUGGCGAGUGGCGAACGGGUGAGUGAUGCAUCGGAACGUGCCAUUGAGUGGGGGAUAACGUAGCGAAAGUUGCGCUAAUACCGCAUAUUCUGUGAGCAGGAAAGCAGGGGACCGCAAGGCCUUGCGCUCUUUGAGCGGCCGAUGUCAGAUUAGCUAGUUGGUGAGGUAACGGCUUACCAAGGCGACGAUCUGUAGCGGGUCUGAGAGGAUGAUCCGCCACACUGGAACUGAGACACGGUCCAGACUCCUACGGGAGGCAGCAGUGGGGAAUUUUGGACAAUGGGCGCAAGCCUGAUCCAGCCAUGCCGCGUGAGUGAAGAAGGCC